rnacentral:rRNA from 1 species
UAUACGACUCUCGGCAAUGGAUAUCUCGGCUCUCGCAUCGAUGAAGAAUGUAGCGAAAUGCGAUACUUGGUGUGAAUUGCAGAAUCCCGUGAACCAUCGAGUCUUUGAAUGCAAGUUGCACCCGAGGCCUUUCGGUUGAGGGCACGCCUGCCUGGGCGUCACGC